UGCGUAGGCGGAAGAUUAAGUCAGUGGUGAAAUCCUGCAGCUCAACUGUAGAACUGUCAUUGAUACUGAUUUUCUUGAAUACAGUUGAGGUAGGCGGAAUAUGUAAUGUAGCGGUGAAAUGCUUAGAUAUUACAUAGAACACCGAUUGCGAAGGCAGCUUACUAAACUGUGAUUGACGCUGAGGCACGAAAGCGUGGGGAGCGAACAGGAUUAGAUACCCUGGUAGUC
rnacentral:rRNA from 1 species